rnacentral:rRNA from 1 species
CUGCGAAUGGCUCAUUAAAUCAGUUAUCGUUUAUUUGAUAGUGCCCUUUACUACUUGGAUAACCGUGGUAAUUCUAGAGCUAAUACAUGCAUCAAGCCUCGACUUCCGAAGAGGCGUAUUUAUUAGAUAAAAAACCAAUGCCCCUCGGGGCUGUGUGGUGAAUCAUGAUAACGCAACGAAUCGCAUGGCCCUGCGCCGGCGAUGGUUCAUUCAAAUUUCUGCCCUAUCAACUUUCGAUUGUAGUUUAGUGGACUACAAUGGUUUCAACGGGUAACGGGGAAUUAGGGUUCGACUCCGGAGAGGGAGCCUGAGAAACGGCUGCCACAUCCAAGGAAGGCAGCAGGCGCGCAAAUUACCCAAUCCCGACACGGGGAGGUAGUGACAAUAAAUACUGAUACAGGGCUCUUUUGGGUCUUGUAAUUGGAAUGAGUACAAUCUAAAUCCCUUAACGAGGAACAAUUGGAGGGCAAGUCUGGUGCCAGCAGCCGCGGUAAUUCCAGCUCCAAUAGCGUAUAUUAAAGUUGUUGCAGUUAAAAAGCUCGUAGUUGAACCUUGGGCCUGGCGGGCCGGUCCGCCUCACCGCGUGCACUGGACGCGCCGGGCCUUUCCUUCUGCGGAACGGCAUGCCCUUUAGUGGGCGUGUUUUGGGAAGCAGGACUUUUACUUUGAAAAAAUUAGAGUGUUCAAAGCAGGCCUUUGCUCGAAUACAUUAGCAUGGAAUAAUGGAAUAGGACGGCGCUCCUAUUUUGUUGGUUUCUAGGAGAGCCGUAAUGAUUAAUAGGGACAGUUGGGGGCAUCCGUAUUCAGUUGUCAGAGGUGAAAUUCUUGGAUUUACUGAAGACGAACUACUGCGAAAGCAUUUGCCAAAGAUGUUUUCAUUAAUCAGUGAACGAAAGUUAGGGAUCGAAGACGAUCAGAUACCGUCGUAGUCUUAACCAUAAACCAUGCCGACUAGGGAUCGGGCGAUGUUAUUGUAUUGACUCGCUCGGCACCUUUCGAGAAAUCAAAGUGUUUGGGUUCUGGGGGGAGUAUGGUCGCAAGGCUGAAACUUAAAGAAAUUGACGGAAGGGCACCACCAGGAGUGGAGCCUGCGGCUUAAUUUGACUCAACACGGGGAAACUCACCAGGUCCAGAUACACGUAGGAUUGACAGAUUGAGAGCUCUUUCUUGAUUGUGUAGUUGGUGGUGCAUGGCCGUUCUUAGUUGGUGGAGUGAUUUGUCUGCUUAAUUGCGAUAACGAACGAGACCUUCAUCGUUAACUAGCCCGGCUCGCCUUGGCGGGUUGCCGGC